AAAAUGGCCAUUCUGCUUGUAGUACUAUUGAAUACUAUACAGUCAUCAUAUCAACAGUACCCGUUACUAAGUACUUUGGUCAGAAGAAAUGUACCACCUGGAACAUCGAUUCAUGUGUUCAUGGAAACUUGCGAAGCUUGUGGAGAAAUGUUUGGCUCUGAUAUCGCUUACAAAUGUCUGACAGACAGAAAAGGAUUUGAAACCUACCUUAACUGCCAAAAAGCCAUUGCAUA